CGCUUCUGCCCUUCCUGGGCGUUUCCUCCCUAAAAACUUCUAGCCCGGUCGUUUGGCCGGGCUUUUCUUUUGCGCGUU
rnacentral:sRNA from 1 species